rnacentral:misc_RNA from 1 species
AGGGGUUUUAUUAUGGACAAUCUCUUUAAUUUCUGAAGGGAUACCACCCUCAUCAGACCCAUUUGUGUUAUUACGUAAGCUAUGCAGUACUUUGUUGAAAUUGACAGUAUAAAACUGAAAGAUGCUAUUACACAUUUAAUUUUCUUUUUUCUCGAAAACAUACUAUAGAUAUAGUAUCUGUUUCUUUUUGGUUUUUCUUAUCG